AUACAGAGGGUGCGAGCGUUAAUCGGAAUUACUGGGCGUAAAGCGUACGUAGGCGGACUGAUCAGUUGGGGGUGAAAUCCCAGGGCUUAACCCUGGAACUGCCUUCAAUACUGUCAGUCUUGAGAUUGGAAGAGGUGAGUGGAAUUCCUAGUGUAGAGGUGAAAUUCAUAGAUAUUAGGAGGAACACCAGUGGCGAAGGCGGCUCACUGGCUCGAUACUGACGCUGAGGUGCGAAAGCGUGGGGAGCAAACAGGAUUAGAAACCCUAGUAGUCC
rnacentral:rRNA from 1 species